rnacentral:rRNA from 1 species
GUGAGGGAUGAAGGUCCUCUGGAUUGUAAACUUCUUUUAUCUGGGACGAAAAAAGGGUUUUCUAACUCGUCUGACGGUACCAGAUGAAUAAGCACCGGCUAACUCCGUGCCAGCAGCCGCGGUAAUACGGAGGGUGCAAGCGUUAUCCGGAUUCACUGGGUUUAAAGGGUGCGUAGGCGGGCAGAUAAGUCAGUGGUGAAAUACCUGAGCUUAACUUGGGAACUGCCAUUGAUACUAUUUGUCUUGAAUGUCGUGGAGGUUAGCGGAAUAUGUCAUGUAGCGGUGAAAUGCUUAGAGAUGACAUAGAACACCUAUUGCGAAGGCAGCUAACUACGCGAAUAUUGACGCUGAGGCACGAAAGCGUGGGGAUCAAACAGGAUUAGAUACCCUGGUAGUCCACGCCCUAAACGAUGAUUACUCGACAUUGGCGAUACACUGUCAGUGUCUGAGCGAAAGCACUAAGUAAUCCACCUGGGAAGUACGAUCGCAAGAUUGAAACUCAAAGGAAGUGACG